ACGAUACCAGCAAAUGCGUUU
rnacentral:piRNA from 1 species